GACGAACGCUGGCGGCGUGCUUAACACAUGCAAGUCGAGCGGAAAGGCCCUUCGGGGUACUCGAGCGGCGAACGGGUGAGUAACACGUGAGUAACCUGCCCCAGACUUUGGGAUAACCCUCGGAAACGGGGGCUAAUACCGGAUAUGACACAGCUUCGCAUGGGGUCUGUGUGGAAAGUUUUUCGGUUUGGGAUGGGCUCGCGGCCUAUCAGCUUGUUGGUGGGGUGAUGGCCUACCAAGGCGACGACGGGUAGCCGGCCUGAGAGGGCGACCGGCCACACUGGGACUGAGACACGGCCCAGACUCCUACGGGAGGCAGCAGUGGGGAAUAUUGCACAAUGGGCGGAAGCCUGAUGCAGCGACGCCGCGUGAGGGAUGACGGCCUUCGGGUUGUAAACCUCUUUCAGCAGGGACGAAGCGUAAGUGACGGUACCUGCAGAAGAAGCGCCGGCCAACUACGUG
rnacentral:rRNA from 1 species